CUGAUGGCGAGUGGCGAACGGGUGAGUAACAUAUCGGAACGUGCCUAGUAAUGGGGAAUAACUAAUCGAAAGAUUAGCUAAUACCGCAUACGACCUACGGGUGAAAGCAGGGGAUCUUCGGACCUUGCGUUAUUAGAGCGGCCGAUGUCGGAUUAGCCAGUUGGCGGGGUAAAAGCCUACCAAGGCGACGAUCAGUAGCUGGUCUGAGAGGACGAUCAGCCACACUGGAACUGAGACACGGUCCAGACUCC
rnacentral:rRNA from 1 species